rnacentral:rRNA from 1 species
GAUGAACGCUAGCGGCAGGCUUAAUACAUGCAAGUCGAACGGUAACAGGUCUUCGGACGCUGACGAGUGGCGCACGGGUGAGGAACACGUACACAAUCUACCUUAUACUGGAGAAUAGCCCCGGGAAACUGGGAUUAAUACUCCAUAGUCUUUAAUGAUCACAUGAGAAAUAAAGUAAAGCUUCGGCGGUAUAAGAUGAGUGUGCGUCCCAUUAGAUUGUUGGUGAGGUAACGGCUCACCAAGUCGACGAUGGGUAGCUGGCGUGAGAGCGCGACCAGCCACACUGGCACUGAGACACGGGCCAGACUCCUACGGGAGGCAGCAGUAGGGAAUAUUGGUCAAUGGACGAAAGUCUGAACCAGCCAUGCCGCGUGGAGGAUGACUGCCCUCUGGGUUGUAAACUCCUUUUAUAUGGGAAGAAACCUCUGGAUUCACUCCAGAGCUGACGGUAUCAUAUGAAUAAGCACCGGCUAACUCCGUGCCAG